CUAAUUUUUUUUUAAAAAAAAAAAAAGGGGGGGGGGAGAAAAAGAAAAAAAAGAAAGAUGCAAUACACCAAGAGAAAAAGAAUCCAAGUUGUUAAAAAGGGAACAAAUCUCGUUUGCUAGCGUAAUAACCAGGGCUAACCGAAAUUCCUCACUUGCUAAGUGAAGAGGAAGAGCAGAAAAGAGGAAAAUGAAUGCAAUAAAUGACUCAUUAAAGGAGAUUUAUCUAGUUUCCAGAAAGGGAUGCAACUCAUCUUGGAAGAACAGAGCGUGAAGUCAAAUCCAUGGUCAACAAGAGAAGUCUCCCAUUCUGAUGACGCCGUCUUAAUCCUAGUUUUGGAUUUGACGAUGCACGAGAGCAACCCAGCAGGAGAAGACGUGACUAACUUCAACCCAACCAUGUUUGCAACGAGGGCUGGAAACAAAAACCCAGAGAUGAAACGAUGACGAGGCCGUGAUGGGGACCAAAAGCAACUCCGAUGGAGCUGGGGAAUAUGCCCAGGUGUGAUUUGAAUGGAGAGUCCUCUUCCCACCCACCCCCACCCCCAUGGGGGGAUUGCGAGGAGGCACCCCAGAAUUAUUGUUGACGGGUGCCGUUGCUUCCGAGCGCAUGGGAGAGGAUGCAAAGGCAGAGGGAAAUGAGCAUGCUCACUCUUGCAAAGCAGCAUUUGGCCAAGCCAGAACAGUGUGUGUCUUAUCCUUCCACAAUUUCUCUCCUUCUUCCUCCUCCUCCUCUUCCUCCUCCUCUUUGGGAUCUCUCUCUCUCUCUCUCUCUCUCUCUAGAUGUCUGCUACGUUCGGAGGUGCCGGAAUUGACAGUUGGAACCGAUAAAUGAGGGCCUGUUGUCUAGAAUCUCGGAUCUCUUGCUGUGCCGAUGGACCUGUCGCAAUUGUUGUCAGAAGUGCUACGAGUGCAGCUGUUGCCAGUCCAACGAAGACGAAGUGGAAAUCCUGGGGCCUUUUCCAGCCCAAACCCCUCCCUGGUUGUAAGUUUUUGGAAGUGUUCUGAAGGCACCAUUGAUUUGAAGGGUGGUUGCGAUGACGAUACUUAGUUUGGUAAUGAAAUCUGCAAGGAAACCCUCAAACUCAGUACCAUGGACCCCUCAAUCCUCCUCCCCCUCUUCCUUAAAUAUAUAUUUGUGUCCUCUACAAGCAGGUUAUCCUUUCUUUAUAAAUAUAUACAGUAUAUUUGUUCCAUCAUAAGCAGGGAUAGGAUUCCGUCGGUUCAGACCAGUUCAGGCGAACUGGAUGCUAAUUUUACAUCUGGUUCGCCAAACCGGUAGUUGCAAGAACUAACUGGUCCUCC